rnacentral:rRNA from 1 species
GACGAACGCUGGCGGCGUGCUUAACACAUGCAAGUCGAACGGAAAGGCCCUGCUUUUGUGGGGUGCUCGAGUGGCGAACGGGUGAGUAACACGUGAGUAACCUGUCCUUGACUUUGGGAUAACUUCAGGAAACUGGGGCUAAUACCGGAUAGGAGCUCCUGCUCCAUGGUGUGGGUUGGAAAGAUUCGGCGGUUGGGGCUGGACUCGCGGCUUAUCAGCUUGUUGGUGUGGUAGUGGCUUACCAAGGCUUUGACGGGUAGCCGGCCUGAGAGGGUGACCGGCCACAUUGGGACUGAGAGACGGCCCAGACUCCGACGGGAGGCAGCAGGGGGGAAUAUUGCACAAUGGGCGGAAGCCUGAUGCAGCAACGCCGCGUGCGGGAUGACGGCCUUCGGGGUGUAAACCGCUUUCGCAUGUGACGAAGCGUGAGUGACGGUAAUGGGUAAAGAAGCACCGGCUAACUACGUG